UUGAAGCUGCCUGGGCUCUAACGAAU
rnacentral:piRNA from 2 species